GAUGAAGAAACCCAGCUGCGUGCACGUGUGUGGAAUACUCUUGGGUAGCAUGAGCAGGUCAGGCAAUGGCAAAUGGCAUGAUGUGACCUCGAGUCAACAUCGGAGGCAUCAAAGUGGUUCCCUGGUUUCUCCAACCCCUCUGUAUCAAACACCUGGUAUCUCCCAGAACCUGAAGACUCAAAGAAGAGUUAAAUAAAUAAAUAAAAGCUAACACUUCUAUGGUGACUACUAUGUGCUGGGCACACUUCUAAGUUAACUUUGG
rnacentral:lncRNA from 1 species